AUUCUUCAUGCACCUGCUCCUCCUUGUCCAAUUUUUUUUACAUUUUUAAUAGAAAUUUUGAAAAACUUUAAAAACUUUUUUUUUUAAGAAAUCCCUUACCAUAUACAGCUCUGGAGUGACUGGUUCCAGCUGGAGGCCCGCCCAUUAAAUGAAGGCUGGAGCGCCGUGGUGAGAGAGGUUCUCGCGUUUCUCCCAACAUCCAAGCAGUACGCCUGUGACAGCCACUUCAGUGACUUUGUGACAGUUGAAGUGGAGUGGGUAGGGGUGAGCUGCCGUUUCUUUUGAUCCCCUGUUUUCUCCUGUUUUGAGUAAGUUAAGCUGGUCAGACUCUGUCUUUAUCUUUGGCUCUUGUUGUGGUAAGGUUAGGUGUGUGGGAAUCAGUUUAGAUUAGUUUUGUUUAUUAUUUUGGCCUUAGCUCACCCCGACGUGUUGACACUCCCGUUUUGUUGUAUCUGUUUUAUCACUUUGUAAAUAAAUCACCUUUUAACGAAUUGAUUUGUUUCCUGUCACUGCUUCGCUCUUGUGGAGCGAGCGAGUGCUUCACUCAUGUUAUUGCCUGGCUCCUAAAUAAGAAGUCCAUUGCCAUGAACACUCUUAGUCUUGCUAAAACUUUAUGUAGUUUGAUUUUUUUAUUGACAUGUUUCUAUAUUAUAUUUUAUUUUUUCAGCUGCAAAAAAGUCAAAAAAAGAUCAAAAUAAGUGUUGUUACUUCAGAAAAUUAUUAUUUUUUGAUAGGCACAGUGAAGACUGACAGGAAAGUGGAGGAUGGAGAGAGGGGAAGACGGCCCGGGUUCGUCCACAGUCAGCAGAUCUCAGAUAGAGCACCUUUGGGAAGUGUUGGAACAAGAGAUUCACAUUGUGGAUGCGUAGCCAACAAAUCUGCAGCAGCUGUUUGAUGCUUUCAUGUCAGCGUCUGAGGAAUGUCCAAAAUAUGUCUAUGAAUUUAAUUCAUGCUAAAAGCAGGUUUUAGAGCCAUUCUUCUCACCCCUCCAGAUGUAAUUGAAUUUUCUGGAUUUGGGUUGAAUUCGCCACGAAGGUCAGUUCAUAACAAAGUGACAGUGUUUUGAAAUGUGUGCCUGUCAGUUCUAGCACCAGUCACAUGGUGGCGCCAUCUCUCAGCCAUCCUGUUCACGUAAUAAAUCCUUGGAUGAUAAAACAGCCACAGACACUGCGCAGGUUCAUUAGCUCUGUCCACUGUUGAGAAAACUGGGACAAUCUUAUGACCCGUCAUAAAGAUUAAGGUGUCUGAUCCCUUUGGACUGCGCAAUUGGUUACCCUGGUUACAUGUAGCAGUGAUAGGCUAUGCACAGCAACAAGCAACAGUUACAAGCUCAGCAUCUACCACAUACAGCGGUGCACUACAAACUGAAAUGAGACAGGGUUCCUCUGAGACCAUGGUGCUACAUGUAACAGUAAAUCAGCAGAGGACUGCAUAAAGUGCAAGUAUGCAAAAAUUUAAAACAAAACAGUUCAACAGAACGAUGCAUACACUAGUCGGUGCAAUAGAAACGUACAACAAUGACACUGGGUUGUGCAAAAAGUACCUGGGGUAAUGAAAUGAAUGUACAAACGUAUGUGUGUGAGAGUCUCUGAGUGAAGAUCAGAUAAAACCUGAUUUUGGAUGUUUAUGGUUUGUGUUAAUGUGUGUUCCUACGAGAAAAUAAAAUAAACCGUUCCCUCUUUUUAUUUUAAAGGAAA